UACGUAGGGUGCAAGCGUUAAUCGGAAUUACUGGGCGUAAAGCGUGCGCAGGCGGUUAUGCAAGACAGAUGUGAAAGCCCCGGGCUCAACCUGGGAAUGGCAUUGAGGACUGUGGAGCUAGAGUGCGGCAGAGGGAGGUGGAAUUCCACGUGUAGCAGUGAAAUGCGUAGAGAUGUGGAGGAACACCGAUGGCGAAGGCAGCCUCCUGGGCCGACACUGACGCUGAGGGCACGAAAGCGUGGGGAGCAAACAGG
rnacentral:rRNA from 1 species